UACCAGCUCUCCGAGUGGUAGGGAUGAUUAUUGGGCUUAAAGCGUCCGUAGCCGGCUUAGCAAGUCUCCUGUUAAAUUCAGCGACCUAAUCGUUGAGCCGCGGGAGAUACUACUAGGCUAGGAGGCGGGAGAGGUCAACGGUACUUCCGGGGUAGGGGUGAAAUCCUAUAAUCCCGGGAGGACCACCAGUGGCGAAGGCUGUUGACUAGAACGCGCUCGACGGUGAGGGACGAAAGCUGGGGGAGCGAACCGGAUUAGAUACCCGGCUAGUCCCAGCUGUAAACGAUGCGAGCUAGGUGUUGGGGUGGCUACGUGCCACUUCAGUGCCGCAGGGAAGCCAUUAAGCUCGCCGCCUGGGGAGUACGGCCGCAAGGCUGAAACUUAAAGGAAUUGGCGGGGGAGCACCACAAGGCGUGAAGCUUGCGGUUC
rnacentral:rRNA from 1 species